UACGUAGGGUGCGAGCGUUAAUCGGAAUUACUGGGCGUAAAGCGUGCGCAGGCGGUUUUGUAAGCCAGAUGUGAAAUCCCAGAGCUCAACUCUGGAACUGCCUUUGAUACUGGGUGUCUUGAGUAUGGAAGAGGCGAGUGGAAUUCCGUGGUGUAGCGGUGAAAUGCGCAGAUAGUCAGGAGGAACACCGAUUGCGAAGGCAGCUCGCUGGGACGUUACUGA
rnacentral:rRNA from 1 species